UCUCCUACUAGGUAGGAAUAGACAAUCAAAACAUUCCUGUCAGUUGACCAUCCAGCCUUUGUUUAAAAGCCUCCAGAGAAGGAGAUUCCAUCGUAUUUCCAGUCUUUCUUACAAGGCAAUAAUCCAGAAUGCCAGAAGAGUGACUAGGUAAAUGCCUAAAGAAGGAACUGACUUUCCC
rnacentral:lncRNA from 11 species